rnacentral:tRNA from 1 species
AAGGAAACAUACGGAAGGUCGACACAUCGUUUGCGCUUUGUUCAGUUUUGAGAGGUCUACCCGUAGGGGGCCUUAGCUCAGCUGGGAGAGCGCCUGCUUUGCACGCAGGAGGUCAGCGGUUCGAUCCCGCUAGGCUCCAUAAACGAUCGAUUUUAGAUCGUUUGUUUGGUUCUUUGAAAACUGGAUAGAAAAACAACAAUCAACACCAACCGAGAAUCCGCGUUGAACACGUUUUUUAACGAAGUUUACGCACAUGUUCGAAGGGCUUUGAUCGCUCAAAGCAAGCACCUUCGAGAAACCCUUGACCGCAAGGUCAAGUCA